CAGUUGCUUUUAACCGUAUUACCUACCGAAUGAUUGAACUGAAACAACAUUGUCAUGUGAAAGAGAAAUGAGCUUCAGUCUCUUACUCCCAUUACCAUUACAAAACCAACCAAACCAUUCCUCGUACCAAAACUCAAAUCUCAAGAGAAACCCAUCUCUCUUUCCCAUUCCACAUUCACUCCCUUUCUUCUCUCUCACUCACACUCACACUCACCGAUCUCCAACUCGUUCCAACUCAGUGCACGAAGGACGAGUCCACUGGACCCAGAACUCCUUCAAGAACCACCUCAUUGUUCCCGAAACACUUGUUGUACUCACAUUUUCCACGCUCCUUUUCUGCCUUAGGCUCUUCUCCAAUGCCCUUUUGCCCGAUUUCCCUCGUCGUUGGCGAAACCUCAUUGAAUUUUCCGCCGAGGCUGAACUCAGAGCCAGCUCUUAUCCUUGGCAUUUAUGGCAAGCCAUUGUGGCUUACGAGGACCGCCGCUUCUUUAUGCAUCAUGGGGUUGACCCCGUCGGCAUUGCCCGUGCUGUGCUGUCUUUUUCGUCUCGUGGAGGUGGUAGCACCAUUACCCAACAGCUUGUCAAAAACACCUUCCUUAAAAAUGAACGCACUCUUUCAAGAAAAGUAGUCGAGAUGGUGUUGGCACUAGCAUUGGAGAGGACAAUGUCAAAAAGGAGAAUUCUGAGCUGCUAUAUGAAUAAGAUUUACUGGGGACAUGGUAUAUAUGGCAUUAAAUCAGCAUCAAUUUUCUACUUUGGAAAGCAUCCAUCUCUUCUUAGUUUGGGGGAGUCUGCAAUGCUUGCUGGGAUUAUACCUGCCCCAGAACUUCGUUCUCCACUCAGGGAUCCUAGCAGGGGGAAGAGCUUCCAAGCAAGAGUCUUAAGGAGGAUGGUGGAAGUUGGUUUUCUUGAUAUUGAAACGGCACUUUUGGUUGUGAAACAAGGUCUUCAUCUGCAUGUUUUUGUGUCAGAAUAUGCUGAUGGAUUCUUGCAUCUAUCACCCUUGCCUAAGGAUGGACUGGGAGUAUCCGACAAAUUGAAGCGAGGAACUGACUCAGCUUUUAAGGUUGUGUGGGACUGGGAAAAAGAGAGCGUGACAUGGGAAGCCUGGGAAGAUAUGGAAAGAUGGUCCAUCAAGUUGCAGGCCAUUGGUCACAUAAAACUUCAGAAAAACAUUCUGGUUGUAGUGACAAAAUGGAUUUUUCGUAAUAAAUAAUUGUGAAGUUGAUGGGUGAAAGUGAAACUGCACAAGUAUUGAUCAAAAAACAAAAAGCUGAGAGCUGUGACACACAUAGCUACUUAUCAGAAUCACAUUAUUGGGCUACAAUCUAUGACAAAUUACAAGUUUGGAGGUGCUUACACAUUUGACUGUCGCACACACCCCCUUACUUUCAUUGAGGAACUAAAGUCCACCUUAAAUGUGAUUAUUGUGUUGGUACUUGCAUAGAGUUGAUAUACCAAUGUUCCCAGUGUAAUUUCAACAUACAUUGUGGAUGUUUAUAGAAAGGACAAAUCUGGUUUUAGUUUUUAUUA